rnacentral:rRNA from 1 species
AUUGAACGCUGGCGGCAGGCCUAACACAUGCAAGUCGAGCGGGGUUUUCGGACCUAGCGGCGGACGGGUGAGUAAUGCGUAGGAAGCUGCCCGAUAGAGGGGGAUACCAGUUGGAAACGACUGUUAAUACCGCAUAAUGUCUACGGACCAAAGUGUGGGACCUUCGGGCCACAUGCUAUCGGAUGCGCCUACGUGGGAUUAGCUAGUUGGUGAGGUAAUGGCUCACCAAGGCGACGAUCUCUAGCUGGUUUGAGAGGAUGAUCAGCCACACUGGAACUGAGACAGGAUCCAGACUCCUACGGGAGGCAGCAGUGGGGAAUAUUGGACAAUGGGCGCAAGCCUGAUCCAGCCAUGCCGCGUGUGUGAAGAAGGCCUUCGGGUUGUAAAGCACUUUCAGCGAGGAGGAAGGGGUGUGUGUUAAUAGUACACACCUUUGACGUUACUCGCAGAAGAAGCACCGGCUAACUCUGUGCCAGCCGCCGCCGUAACAC